rnacentral:rRNA from 1 species
AGGACGAACGCUGGCGGCAUGCCUAAUACAUGCAAGUCGAGCGGAAUGAAGAGAGCUUGCUCUCUGAUUUUAGCGGCGGACGGGUGAGUAACACGUGGGCAACCUGCCCUACAGAUGGGGAUAACUCCGGGAAACCGGGGCUAAUACCGAAUAAUCAGUUUGUCCGCAUGGACGAACUCUGAAAGACGGUUUCGGCUGUCACUGUAGGAUGGGCCCGCGGCGCAUUAGCUAGUUGGUGGGGUAAUGGCCUACCAAGGCAACGAUGCGUA